GUCCACGCCCUAAACGAUGGAUACUAGGUGUGGGGGUAUUGACCCCCUCCGUGCCGAAGCCAACGCGUUAAGUAUCCCGCCUGGGGACUACGGCCGCAAGGUUAAAACUCAAAGGAAUUGACGGGGGCCCGCACAAGCAGCGGAGCGUGUGGUUCAAUUCGAUGCGACACGAAGAACCUUACCCAGGCUUGACAUGUAUGUGGUAGCGAAGCGAAAGCGGAGCGACCCGCAAGGGAGCAUACACAGGUGUUGCAUGGCUGUCGU
rnacentral:rRNA from 1 species